CAAGCCACGAAAGUUGGGAGGGCCCGAAGUCGCCAAGCUAACUCGCAAGAGAGGCAGGUGCCGAAGGUCAGCUCGACAAUUGGGACUAAGUCGUAACAAGGUAGCCGUAGGGGAACCUGCGGCUGGAUCACCUCCUUU
rnacentral:rRNA from 1 species